GUCCACGCCGUAAACGUUGGGCACUAGGUGUGGGACUCUAUCGACGGGUUCCGUGCCGUAGCUAACGCAUUAAGUGCCCCGCCUGGGGAGUACGGCCGCAAGGCUAAAACUCAAAGGAAUUGACGGGGGCCCGCACAAGCGGCGGAGCAUGUGGCUUAAUUCGAUGCAACGCGAAGAACCUUACCUGGGCUGAACUAUGCGGGAAAAGCCGUAGAGAUACGGUGUCCUUCGGGUCCGCGAUAGGUGGUGCAUGGCUGUCGU
rnacentral:rRNA from 1 species